GAAGCCAGGCCAAGAAGAAUCCCAGGACUGGAAGGCCUUGUGGGACGUCCCAGGUUUGUCUUGUGUCAAUAGCACUGAUACUCAAUCUCCUACUCCCAUCUGUGAGCAUGCAGACCCUACUUGCCUUCCCACAGCCUCCCUUUUCAUAUUUUUCAUGUUUCUUUAGCUCUGUCUUCAAGCCUUGUUGCUCCCGCAAAAAAACCUGCCUCUUCCUCCAGUCCUCCCAAGCAGGGGGAACAGUCCUGACACCUUUCCAAGCCCUGGUCCAUGGACAUUGUGCCCCCUUCUCCCUGCCCAUGGUGACCUGCUCCAAAACCCUCAAGGAGAAGGGAGUGUAUGUCAUUUCCUCCCUGUAAAGUAAAGAUAAUUUUGCAGGGGACUGUGUGGAUGAAAUGACAUGAUGCAUGGAAAUCCCUUAGCGUGUGCCUGGCAUGUAAACUGCAGGUGUCAUCAUUAUUACUGAGGAAUACUGAGUCCCGAACAUGGCUGUCUCAUUGGUGGACUGGGGUCUCCCCCAGGGCAUUCAUCUACUAUGUGUUUAUUGCACCCUUUUUCCAUGUGAGGCACAUGCCAGGGACUGGGCACAUGGUAUGAACAAGACACAGGUCAUCGGUGUCCUCUUGAGCUCCCUGGCUUGGCAGCAGAUGCAUACCUGGGAAGGAUGCUAGGUCAUCCGGGAACUCUACCUCCUUCAAAUCCCUAAGGACUGUGCUCCCAAUCCGCUUACGCUCAAGGAAGAACUGGAAGGCCCAGAACCAGCCUGCUGUCAGGAUCAGAACAAAAGAGGAGGACUGCAUAUGUAUGGACCCACUCCAGAUGGCACGGGGACGGGGGGAGUAGGAAAAGUGGCAUGAGACCAGGCCCACAGAGUAUGGCUGUGCAAGUUGUUCACUCUACAAGGGCACCUGGCCGAGCUAAUCAAAUCCUGUGAGUUCUUUAAAGACCCAGCACCAUUGCCUCCUCUGCCAGGGAGUCCCUCGGAUUGCUCCAGCCUCUUUGACCACUUUCCUUUGCCUUUCCACUUCCUUGAGAGAUGAGGAAAUGGAGGCACAGACUGAUUAGAAAACCAGCUCAAGGUCAUGUUGCUGGCCGGCUAUUGUGUCUGAGUCCCUGCCAGACUUUGGGCUCUCUAAACCUCCGGCUGCCAGCACAGGCCAGGGAGUGAAUCCGGGGCUGGGUCUCUGGCCCUGAGCUCUGCUUCA
rnacentral:lncRNA from 1 species